GAAGCAAGCUUGGACUCACAGGAUCCAGCAGGACCGCAGACAGCUGAGGGCGCCCAGAAGCUGAGGUGCCCAGAGCAGGGACAGCGCCCCCUGCUGCCGGAGCACCCGGGCCGGAGAACACGGCGGCUUCAGUCUGAGCCCCACCUCCCCUGUUACCAGGCACCGCCCCAAGGAACCGCCCCAGCUUAGGGGAUUCUGAUUGGCUGCACCUUCUGUGACGUCGCGCGGCCGGCUGCGGCCACUGUCCAAUCAGGCACUUCAGGGCGACCCUGCGGAGCCCCGCGGGAUCUUUCUUUGUGGCAGCGCUGGGAGGGGUCCCCGGGGCUGCUGCUGAGCGGGCUCGGGUGCCUCAGGGGCUGCGCUGUGUGACCUUCCUGCACCGCAGGAGCCGCCCACGGACCCCAGAAUGCCGCGGAAGCGAGGAAAUGGAAUCCUCUCAAAAUCCAUACCUUCAAUCCUAGCAUGAGCAGCUCCUGCUGGCAGAAGCCCUGCAACUGUCCUGAUGCUGAUUCAAAGGCACUUAAUGUAUUCUGUGUUCCUGAAGGUAUUAUUAGAGACCUCCACGUGUUUCUAAGACAAGAGAAACGAAUGUGUCUCCAAUAUUAAAAGAAGACAGAAAGAGCUGCUAUCAGCUGAUUCACUCCCAAAAUGCCUGCAGAGGUUGGGACUUUGCUGGAAGAGCCUGCAGCCAGAAAGUUGAUCUGUAGCACCUCUGCUUGGCCAUCCCUGGCGUCAUCAGCCCUGCCUGCAUCAGCAGCAGGAAGCUGGGGUCAGGGCCCCAGUGUGGGAAUAAAACCCUGGGCACUUUAAUGUGCAGUAUGGGCAUUUUAGUUGCUGUGUUAAAUGCCCACUCCUAUCUGAUCACUUUUAUGUUAUUUUUAUUGCUAAAUCAUCAUAAUCAGAGUCGUUUUCAGUAGAUCGUCUGGGUCAUGUAGGUAUAAUUUAUAAACAAAUCAUACUCAUUUUCAUCUACUUUUCUCUUGAAUUGACUAGCACCUCUUAUCCAGUGUUGAAUAAUUGUGAUGAUGGAGCAUCCCUAUUUUCCAGUGUUUGCCCUUUAACUCUGUUUCUGCCUUUAGGCUAAAAUGUAUAUAGUUUAUAAUGCUACGAAGAAUGUAUUAGGGGCAGUCAUUGUGGUGCAAUGGGUUAAACUGGUGCUUGGGAUUCCCACAUCUAUUAGCAGAAUGCCUGGCUUGAACCUUAGCUACUGUGCUUCUGAUCCAGUGCCCUCCCAAUGCAUCCUGGGAAGUAUCAGACGAUGGUUCAAAUGCUUGGAUUCCUGGCUUUUGCCUGGCAUAGAACCUUGCUGUUGCAGCCAUCUGGGGAGUGAACCAGUGUAUUUAAAAUCUCUUUCUUUCUCUCUCCCUGUUAUUCUGACUUAGAAAUAGUUAAAAAUGAAUUUAAUUGUAAGAAGAAUAUACUGAUAUCUCUAACUGAGGAUCUGUUUUAUAAUUGCAAAUAUUUUAAAAUAUACUUUUGCAGUGUCUGUGGAUUAUCACAGAAUUUUCUUUCCAUUGUCCCGUGACUAUGAUGAAAUAUACUAAAGUAAUUUAAAAAGGUUGUGGGGGAUAGAAUUAAAAUAUAAAUUCAUUUUGGUGCUGGAAAUGUUGAACUCAUAGAUACUUACAUUAAUAGGUUUUGUAAUUUUGAGCUUUUUCUUAUUCCUGGAAUACUUUGAAAUUCGUUCUGCUUUGUCUGGUUCUACUAGGCUUUCCUUCCCUUCCUCUAGCAGUAAAUGUUAGUGUUUCCUCGGAUUCUGCACUCAUUCCUUUCUGCCUUCUUCUCUUAGCUCUUCUUAUUACAUUCACUCUGUUGGCUUAAGGCUUAACGGAAGUUCUGCUACUUCCAAAAUCUUUAUCUGCAGUUUACAGUUCUCUCUGAGCUCUAGUUUAUAUGACUGGACAUAGCCAGAGAUUUGAAAUUUUAAAAACAUUGUGUCCACGAUCAGUUUCGCUUCAUCUCAUCAUACUCUUUUUCCUUUUUUUCAGUUACAGUUUAUUGUACCUGUGUCUACCUGCACCUCAUGCACAUAGUAUCAAAUUAAAUUCCAUUGUCUACCCUGUACACAACAAAUUAGAAAUGAAUUUUGUUCUUGCUUUUUCUUUUUCUUUUACUUUUUUCUUUUUCACAAUGAAUUUCUUCAUCAGUGUUAUUGCUCUGUGUCCUGAUGGUCAGUGGUCAUGUCCUGCUCUAACUUCUUCCCCUCUGUCCCUCUGGUUCCUUCUCAUUCUCCCUCUGGGGUGUAACUUAAAAAUGUAAAUUGCUAAAUAGCUUCUAGUUUUUAUUGAUUUAUCAUAAUUUAUGCCUUGGGUUUUAUGAAGCAGGCAGUCGUUUUCAUGGGAACAUUAGCAAUUGUGUUGGCUUUUGAAGGCAAUAUAUGGGUGCUUAAGAACACUGUAUAAGCAGUUUUCACAGUUACUUAGCAGAGCACAUUUUAUUGUUGGAAUCAGGCCAACUCUAUAAGUAAAGAAUCACUAAGUUGUCAGCUCCUGGAGCGUGUUUCCUGCCUUCAUCUCCUUACAGCCAGGAGCACUCACUAGAGGUGAUGUUUGUAGUUCCAUUUCACCUGGUCUCUGUGUUUGUGCUUUUGCAAUGUGACUUCUGCAUUUUCACAUUCAUGAGAACACACUGAUAACCAUCUUCAGCUUUUCAGUGAAGUGUGACCUGAUGAAACACUUUGCGUUUAAAUCUAGGAUGAGUUUGUCUCAAUAGACCCCAUAUGUGAUUUCAGUUAUGUGUGAAUACUGAUGUGUACAGACUACACUGUGAUCUUACAGAAUCGGAAGUCCAUCCUUCCUAACCUUACCAGGAAGGGAUGGUUGUGGAUAUAUAAGGGAAACUGUCAUAGUAGUUUUGUAAAUGGCUAAAGAAGCAAGGAAUUUUCCUUGUAAUUCUUUGUUGUUGUUGACAUAUGGAGUACGAAAUAAGCUUCAUCUUCUGUAAGAGACAUAUGAGACACACAGAGAUUGCACACCCUGUCCUCCUGUUUUGUGACCAGAGCUGAUAUGGUGAGGAGAAAUGUGAUGUUACACAUGUUGGUGUCAUUUGAAGACCUGGCUGUGGACUUCUCCCAGGAGGACUGAUAUGACUUGGACGGUGCUCAGAGGGUGCUCUACAGGGAUGUGAUGCGGGAGACCUACCGCAGCCUACUGUCCUUAGGUUCCUGCAUUACUAACCUUGAGGUAAUCUUUAAGUUGGAGCAAGAAGCAGAGCUGUGGUUGGUAGAAGAAUCCUAAACCAGAGACUCCGAGGUCAGUCAGCCCAUUGUAAACAGUAAGGCUGGAACAAGGAGAGAUCAGCAGAUGUAUUAAGCUCUUCUUACCAUUUCUUUCUUUUUUUGAAAGUUUUUUUUUUUAAUUUAUUUGAAAGUCAGAGUUACACAGAGAAAGGAGAGGCAGAGAGAGUAAGAGAGAGAGAACGAGAUCUUCCAUCCACUGGUUCACUCUCCAAUUGGACACAAUGGGCGGAGCUUGGCCAAUCCGAAGCCAGUAGCCAGAAGCUUCCUCCAGGUCUCCCGUGCAGGUUCAGGAGCCCAAGGACUUGGGCCAUCUUGUACUGCUUUCCCAGGUAUAGCAAAGAGGUGGAUUGGAAGAGGAGCAGCUGGGACUUGAACCAGAACCUAUAUGGGAUGCUGGCACUGCGGGUGGUGGUUUUACCCACUAUGCCUAGAGUGCUGGUCCCCUAUUUAUUUCUGAAGUCCCAGUCCUGAGAACAUGCACCAGACACAGCUAUUCUAUAGUCUUCAUGAUAGGCUGUCAUGUAUACAUCCAACUUUAUUGUAUUUCUUAAUUUAUUCUAUGUGUUUAUUUUUUUCUUGUUUUUUUUUUUUUUUUUAAUACGUUUUGAUUGCCUUGUGUACACUCUCUCGAGGUAGAUUACUGCUGUCUGUCAUUGAAUCCUGACUUGAUUGAAUUCUUAUGGCCUAUGUCUGACCUAUUUUUCUUUUGUUGCACUAUUUGGAAACCCUUCUACAUAAAUAUAAUAGUGUCUAAAAUUCUAAUAGCUUCACAUUACUUUUAAUAUUUUUGUCUUCAUUCUCCCCCUUCAUUUUGGUCAUCAGGUUUGUUUAAAAUCUCUUUGAAAUUCUAUUUCCCAUCCACAAAGCUCUUUUUAAAUUCUGGUUGGAUUUGAAUUUAGCUCAUAUCUCAGCACAUUCCCGCUCAUGAUGGACAGGUCACCCAAGUGUCAUGGCCUUUCCCUGGUGACCAGGCUACAGAUGUGGUGAAAGACGCUCUAGCUGCAGUCAUUCUUCCUACUUCCCAUCCUGAGGACAGGCCUGGAAAUCACCCCUCCCGCCUCUACUGCUACCCAUCAGGGAAAGCCCAUUAGCCUAGUCAUGCACCCUGGAGAUCUCUCAAAUAUUAAUCAUGAGAUGCAGACCUCAAAUACAACAAAGAACACAGAUUAUAGGGUAAGUAAAUGCUUAUGUACAUUUUACAUAAAAUUAAAUAACAGGUAAAUAAAUAACAGGUAAAGUUGCUAUUCUUUUUAAGAGCAAAAGUUUUAGAGAAUGAGAAAAAUCUGAAGCAGUAAAAUAUUUAAUUACUCCAGUUGAUCAAGCAGUUCUAAAUUUCUAUGUUUCUUCCAACUCAGCCUUAGCAUAUAUAAAGUGAAAAUUAAUCACUGUAAGGGAGUAGACACAUCAUACUUGGAGACCUUGUCACCUCUCUCUGUUGGGUUCAGAAGUGGAAUAUGGCAAGCAAAUAGAGGAAAGGCACGUAGGAAAUAAAAGUGGAGAUGGACUUGGAAAUCUUAGUUAUUACCUUACUAGCAUUCAAGCCAGAAUGUCCCAAAUAUUGCCUCUCACUGAUGCGUUCCACCCAGCCAGGAAAAUGUGAUUCUAAAGCAGAACAAAUGACAGAGUACAGCAGAAAUGAACUUCUGAGCUGAAGUAGCACAUGAGAGCUUUUCAGAGCCCAGGAUCUGCAGGGCCCAUCCAUCCUGCAGACCUAUUCCUGGUCUCAUCCCAGAGCUCCUUUCCAACAGAUAAGUGCCUUGCAAGCUACGGUAACUCUUCACUUCCCCUAGAGUUUCUUUCAGGCAGUUGGGAAAAGACCUGGGCUCCAAGGGGGACCAGCAGUGGGUUGGAGGGAGGUAGACAUUUGGGCACAGCUGGAGCCAGGCUUACAGCUGAGGUGGUGACUGUAUAGCCUCCUUCCUGGGCCUGCAGGCCUCAAAAAUUAGGUCAGGGAGAUAGAGGGAGUGACAUGAUGAUAUGACCCACUCACUAUACAUGCAGUCUGGCUUACAGAUUUGAGCUUAGAUCAGGCUUCACACAUCCUGUCCACGUUGCAGUCUUGCCUGUCUCCUGGCAUGGAGCAGUUUCAUUUCCUGGUUACCUGAGCAUCCCAACAGACACAGGGACCACCAAUGAUGGUUGGAAAAGAUCUUACUUACUGCUGCUGCUGCUUUCUGGGAUCAUGGGAUUAGACUGAGUUUCUGGGUUUCUUGUCUCCCUUGCCCACCACCUCAUAUAGUGUCCAUCUAGCUACCCUGGGUCUCCAGAGAAGAGGUGGGGAUCAUUUGGUUGAUGAAGAAAUUGUGUGUUUAGCAGUGAACAGCAUAGCCCUUUGUCUGAUCUAGGUCUCAUAUAUACUACUAGCAUCCAGAGGAUCCACACAUACUCUCUGCUUACAAGUGCACUUGGUCUAAAUGGUGUCCAUUUUUUUUUUUUUUUUUUGACAGGCAGAGUGGACAGUGAGAGAAAGAGACAGAGAGAAAGGUCUUCCUUUGCCGUUGGUUCACCCUCCAAUGGCCGCCACGGCCGGCGCACCACGCUGAUCCGAUGGCAGGAGCCAGGAGCCAGGUGCUUUUCCUGGUCUCCCAUGGGGUGCAGGGCCCAAGCACUUGGGCCAUCCUCCACUGCACUCCCUGGCCACAGCAGAGAGCUGGCCUGAAAGAGGGGCAACUGGGACAGAAUCCGGCGCCCCGACCGGGACUAGAACCCGGUGUGCCGGCGCCGCAAGGCGGAGGAUUAGCCUAGUGAGCCGCGGCGCCAGCCCUGGUGUCCAUUUCUUUAUGCUGCAAGCCAAACAGGUCUGGCAAGAGGUGGGUAGACAAAAGCAAGUGGGUAUAUCUGGUCUGGGCCUUCUUUGCAUUUGGCAUAAAGUUUGUAUUCACAACACAUAGUGUGGCUGUCUCAGAGAAAUCAGAAAAAUCUAGAAAUGGGGCAGGAAUGAAUAGGAAAGACUCAAGUAAAGAGAGAACCUGUCAGGGGGCCAGCGCUGUGGCAUAGUGGGUAAAGCCGCCACCUGCAGUGCCAACAUCCCAUAUGCCAGUUCAAGUCCGGGCUGCUCCACUUCCAAGCUAGCUCUCUGCUGUAGACUGGGAAAGCAGUAGAAGAUGGCCCAAGUCCUUGGACCCCUGCACCCAUGUGGGAGACCCAGAAGAAGCUCCUGGCACCUGGCAUUGGUUCAGCCUGCUCUGGCCAUUGUGGCCAUUUGGGGAGUGAACCAGCAGAUGGAAGACCUAUCUCUCUCUGCCUCUGCCUCUCUAUAACUCUGCUUU